CCCUUAGAUGUUCUGGGCCGCACGCGCGCUACACUGAUGAACGCAACGAGACGACCUGUACCGAAAGGCAUGGGUAAACUUGUGAAAGUUCAUCGUGAUGGGGAUAGAUUAUUGCAAUUAUUAAUCUUCAACGAGGAAUUCCUAGUAAGCGCGAGUCAUCGGCUCGCGUUGAUUACGUCCCUGCCCUUUGUACACACCGCCCGUCGCUCCUACCGAUUGAAUGGUCCGGUGAAAUCUUCGGAUUGCUGGAUAGGAGGGCAACCACCUAUCUGCGAGAAGUUGCUUGAACCUUAUCAUUUAGAGGAAGGAGAAGUCGUAACA
rnacentral:rRNA from 1 species